UUGGAUCACUAUCUCCGAAUCAAACUAAUCAUUUUAUAUUGUUAGGAUUAAUAAGCUCUUAAAUUUAUUAUACUAAUUCAUCUUAUUUUUUUAAGAGACUCGACUAGGCCUGCUUGACAUUCUGAUGAGCUAAAAUUUCAUAGCAGCUUUGGGCAUGUAUCUCUUAACAACUUUCCAGUCAGUCUAGCCCCUUCUCAGAAUCUGACUCGAUACUUCCCUUUUGCCCCUCAAUUUGACCCAGGCCCAUUCCCACAAAAAAAUCAUCCCACCAAAUGCAAUGCAACAUUCAAUUACAAUCACAAAGAUAAUCCACUAACUAUAGCAUCAGGAGCCCAUAACUGUUUCUCCUUCUUAUUCACGCAUGAGUGGAUAACAAUCAAAGAAAUCAACCGCGCGUGAUACGUCGUCCUUCCCUCUCCCUCAUCUUCGCCGUAUGUGAAUAAUCUAAGUGUCUCUAUCUUGUGCUUCAUCCGUCCUUGCUCCUGAAUCAGACGGUUCUCCUCCUCAUUCCAUUAGGAUUAGUACGAUUCCAGGUGCAGCCUUAUCUGGAAGGGGAAAUUCGAAUUUCAACCUUUUUUUUCUCCCCCCCAUAAUCCGAACCCUAAACCCUUGGUAUAAAUAAUCCCUUUAUUUUGUGUUAAGAAAAAUAAGGUUUAGUGGAGAGUGGUGAAAAAAUAACAAGAAAUAUUGGAGUCAGCUAUUCCUCUAGAAUACAAGAUACAUUCUAGAUUUCCAGCCAUACUAUGAUAAAAAUAUUUUAGGAUAGUUACUAGAAAGCACAAUUUUGGUUCAGCCUUUAUUCUCAGCUCACCCAUCUUCUUAGAUGAAUUCUAGGAGGUCACGUCUUGGUGGCGAAAGAUCAUUCUCGUUCAGCUCGUUUGUUCUCUGUUCGUUGCUCAAAAAGAGCGUACAGGUUCUCAAAGCCGAGGAAUUCGAAUCAGGCCAUAGUUGAAGAUCUUGGACCAAGAAGCCUUUUAUUUUUAUGUUGUAUUUUGUUGUUUUGGGCCUAAGCCCUUGUUGUUUUUCUGUUAUGUAUUAUUAUUUAUCAUUAUUGUAUGUUUAGUCUAGGACAGUUGCAAAGAAAAUGGGUCAAAAACCCAAGACAGACGGGUCCAAAAAUCGGUCAAGGCGUACAGAACCCGGAUUUGGACCCAAAUCUCUCUCCCUGUCUCUUUAUCUGCUUUUAAUUAUUUAUCUUCUUUAUUUAUCAUUAAUUUUAAAGUUAGAAAAA